UUGUGGUAUUUCUAGAUCCUUACCAAGGCAGUGAUGGUAUAUGCCUUCUCUCAAGAUAUGUGGUAUUUGUGGUAUGAGGCAUAGUGAUAUUGCCUUCUCUCUCACCCUACUCUAAUAAGGUUUGAUAUCUAGAGCUCAUAGGUGGGAGACAGCUAAUACAUACUUACAAGACAUUUAUUGCAUAGUCAAACCAUGGAUCCAGAGAAACAAGUCAAUAAGUCAAAUCAAGAUGUGCAUGUGUGGCGAAUGAAUGGUGUAUGGUGAUGAUGGUGAUAACAAUGGUGGAAGUCUAAUUCUACUUUUGCUCUUUUGAGGGGAUACAUACCUUCCUUGCUUUUUGAAACUUUAUGAGGAGAAUGAGAUGCUCUAUCUUUCAUUUUUUUUCUUUCCUCUCAGGUGGGUAUCCUGUACCCCUAAUUCUAUUGUCGGACACUUGUCCAUUUUUACCUCUCGUCUCACUCUUUUUCUUUUCUUUCGAGGUUCCGGGCACUUGCCCCUUUUUAUUUCCUCGUAUAUUUUUUUUUCCUCUUUUUUUUAGAGCACUCAUCUCAUGAGAUAAUAUAGCAAGUGGUAGUAACAAGAUAACUUGAGCAUUUAUUUUACAAGGAAAAAUAGAAAUAUUUUUGGUUAUUCUCUCCCGGAUUAGGAGUAGAAUAUUUUUGGGUGGUUCUGGAGAUGGAAAUGAGUGGAUAUAUGUGGAUGGUACUUCCAGAGUAGAAGUAGCAUAUAUGAGUGAAUGUGCAAGUGAAAUCUUGAUUUAACCACAUGACAAGCUCCUAGGGGUCUACACAGCUUGACCACACUCAAUGCUCAUAAGCAGUAAAUAGUAAAUGUGUGGCUCAAAGUCUAGCAAGCAUGUAUAUAUGGCUGUGGUAGGAAUUUAAACUUUCAUCAUACAGGAACUCAUCAUGCAAUAUUUUAAAGAUUUUUCAAAGAUAAAAUUCUCCAGAAUUCUAGCAUCUCUAGAAACAGAUAAACAGCAGCUCAACCUUCCCAUAUCAUAUCCGUUAACAACUUAGAUUUCAGAUCAAGUUUUUAUCCCACAAGUUUAGAUCUAGAGCAAGCUUUAAAUUAUAACAGUUAUGUCUAAACUUGAGAGAGAACUUCAAAUUUGCAAAUUAGGCAGAGCAACUAUUUAUCAUAUCCAUGCUAGAGUUUUAUUAUUAAGAUUCAGAUUAGCAUAGCCACUUUAUUUAUUUAUUAAACACACUAAGCAAAAGAUAUAUAUAAGCACAAAAUAUUUAUUUGGUUUUUCAUAGUUUAUGUAUUUUAAUAUUCUAAUAUAAUAUAAGUAUAAAGAUAGGUAGAAAUACUUCGCGAGAUAAAUAGGGGUGCUCUCCCCCAAGCUGAAUUUUGAUGUAAUUUCUCUUGAUGUAGCUAGCAGGUGGCAGAGGUGUAUUUGAAAGUCAGCAGCAUUCUGACAGCGAUUAGAAUGUCCUCCGUCUGCUAGUCUUCUUGAUUCUUAAAUUCUGUGGAGCUCAAAUAGACAACAAAGCUUGUGGAACUAAUUAAGUGUUAGCAUAAAUAUCUAGCCUUCAUCAUGUUGAGCUUCCUCAAUAAAUAUUACUCCCUGUUUUUAUAUUUUUAUUUAUAAAGAAGAAAAGAAAUAUUUAUUUUAUUUUUAUGCCACCACAGUGAAGGUACUUAUGGGUUUUAUGCCACUCGUAUACUCACAUGGGGCUUAGUAUUUUUUUAACAUUUUUAUUUUCUUUUCAAGAUAGCAUGAUUAACUAAUAAUCUAUUUAAGGAAAGUAAAUAAUUAAAAGAGAAAGGGAAUGCAGAAAGGAUAAAUAUAGAUAACUACCGAUCUUAACUUUCGGCGAUGGUUCAAUGUUUUAAGUCUUCUUAACAAGACUUCUCACCGUGUUCAUUCUUCAGGUGCGUCAUUUGAUUCAGGUGCGGACCUUGACGUCUGCACCUCUUUGUUUGCCGAGCAGUUCGAAGUGCAGCGUUGGCAGUAUCCUGCUCAGUGUGUUUGUGCUCGUAGAUCCAGGUCCUUUACUUGGUAGAGUCUGAGAGUUAUAAAACUCCUCUGUGUUUUGCUCGAAGUGUACCUGCUCAUAGAGACAAGGCAGAGAUCAAGUGCAUGGGUCCUGUUGGUGGAAAACACCAACAGAACCAAAAGUGUAUUUGUUCUUCUCUAACCCUAAGCAUAGUGAGCAAGACAAAGUUGAUGGAUGAAAAGUUCAUGAGUGUAGCACUUAUAACAUUUGUCAGAUCAGAUUGCUCAACCUUAUGGAAAGAUAAUCUAUCUAUGUAUAUGUCUUUUUCUUUAUAUCUCUCAAAGAUUGAAUGUGUAACAUUUUAGCUCAUAUGAUUAGGAGUGUGGGAUCAUGGAGGUAGUACAAAGAACAAGGAUUAAAGGACUAAACAUGUUGAAUCAGUUAGGUUGGUUAAUCUAGAGUUGUAAAUCAUACAUGUUUGUCUCUUUUAUUUAUAUGAACGCUAGAACCAAGGAGAAGCUUAUAAAAGUGAUAUUCAAGUACCUUAAGAUGUUACCUUGCUUGAAGAGUGAUGGUACAGUAUCACCUUGUGGAAGCUUUCCUUUCUUAGCGAUUGUGUAUCGUGUUUGUGGCACCCUCCAUGGAUCAUCUCUCUAUGAUGAAUGAGCUAUGUCCUUCUUGUGCAAAUUGUUAAACUUCAUGUGUCACUCUCUUCGUCUCUGAUGUGAGUUUAUCUCACGACUUCCCAAAUCGAUAUUGAAAGUUUUUCUGCAGGGGUUAGUCCGACAAAAAUAUACCAAUGUCUACACAAGCAGUUUUUAGUUCAAUAACCGAACUAGACUCCAUGUCUAAUCAUAUUAAGGAAGGCUGUUUAACCUAAGCACCAUGCUUAAUUUAAAAGCCAAUAGAAGUAUGUGCAGUACUUCCAAACUAACACUUACUAGUAAAUAGACAAAGGUAGCAUGACAACAUUUAUAGAGAUCUACUCAAGUGGAGAUGAAGUAGUGUGAUUAGUAUUUAACAAAUUGAGCAUGUCUUAAAGGUAGGGACAACCAAAAUAGCAACAUGGCAAAGGAUGUUUUUAUGUAAAGUACUCCCCCAAGCUUGAAUUUUGCAGAAUUCAAGUUUGGAUGAAUUUAAUUCAAUGUUGUAUGAUGAUUGGUUGGACAUACCUUGUGCUUGUCAUUCAUCCGAUCUUCUUGCUCCAAUCCUGUAAAGGUUAGUGACAAGAAUACCCGAAGGAAUAUUUUUACAAUUAUCUUUAUAUGCUCAAUACACAAGGUAAUGUUGCAAAUAAUUAAAAACUCAUGUUACGAUCUGAUCAGUGCUUAUUUUAGGACACUAAGCUUGUCCUUGGGAAACCAUCAAUUUAUGUCGGCGAAGUGGUUUCCCUUCCAACGCUGACCUAAAUCAAGAUCAACUCAACGAGAUCUGCAAUAUUUAUUAUAGACAUAUGCAUCGACAACCGCCCUUUUAAAGUUUUUAUAAAUAGAAAGGAAGAGGGGGUUGGAGAUCUCAAAUGUGGUGAUGUUGGAGAGACCAAUAGAUUGGGAAGAUGUUGCAUACGAGCAUGGAGUAAACAAAGUGGCUAUGAAAUAAAUUCCAUGCUCAUUAAUGUUAUCUUCGUCUCCAAUCUGAAUGUUCAGAGUUCCUCUUGGAUUGGUCUCACUUAUGUCCUCUUCUAUAGUUGGAUGAAUCCCAUCUUCAAAAGGAGUCAAGAACUCACCAUUUGAAAUUGAACCAAAGUCAGAAUUCAUUAAGGCUUCUUCCUUAUCCAUCCAUUCUACACAUUCUAGACAUUUAGAACUUGUGAUCGGGAAAGGGGAGGUGUUAGAAUUUUCAAUAUGGCUUAGCUCUCCUUUACUUGAUGUGUCAUCCUCGACUUCUUCAUAACAGGAACCAGGACAUUCUCUAAGAGAACCAUUAUUACGAGGAUUUGAAUUAUCCCUGCUUGAAGGUCUCUUAUGGAACCAGAAGUCUAAACCAUCAGCAUCUGAAAGAUUUAAGGUCGGAAUUCCUUCCUCCCAUGGAGAAUUUUGGGGUAUUGAUGGUUUAGGAUCGAUAGCUAAAGUUUGGAAUUGAAGUGGUUGUGAUCUGGCUAUCGAAACUUCUUCUUCUUGUCUAGGAACUGGUUCUAUCUCUUUCUCAGGGAUAUAAAAGCUAGGAGACUUUCCACUUAAUAAAUCAAUCAAAUUCCAAGCUUCACUAGCAGGUAGGUGAUAGAAGGAUCCUCUAGAGGCUGUAUUCAAGGUUUGCUUAUUUUCCCUACUAAGGCCCUCAAAAAAGUGAAUUAGAAGAACUUCUUCUGGAAUAGAAAGCUUUGGGCCAGUGAGAGUAAGGUUAAUAAAGCGGUCCCAUGAUUUCCUAAAAGAUUCUUUUUCCAGUUGUCUAAAAGAAAUAAUCUCACGCCGAAGUUACGCCACUUUGGAGAUUGGAAAAUAUUUAGAAAGAAAACUACUAUAUAACUCCUUCCAAUCUCUAUGAACACUCCCUAUUUUGAGUUUGUACCAAUGUCUAGCUUUUCCCGUUAAAGAGAACGGAAAGAGCUUCCAUUUGAGGGUCUCAUCGGACAUUCCUUCUAUGCGAAGGAGGUCACAGACUCGAUAAAACUCUCUUAGGUGUGUGUAUGGUUCCUCACCUUCUCCUGAGAAAGGUUGUUUUUGAACAAAUUCUAUGUAUUCGGGGUCUAUCUCAAAACUAGAUGCUAUGAUAGGCUUUGAAGAUUUUGGUGGUUCGAGAUGUGUGCCCGUAGGUCUAUGAAAUUCAUAGAUAGACAUGUUUGAAUUCAUGAUAGACCAGAGAUCAAGGAUUAGAUAAGAAGAAAGAUUAGCAGAGAUGAGGCAAAGGAUAAAAGGAUUUUUUUUAUUUUUUUUAGAAAAUGAUUAAGCUAGUUCGUAGUCAACUCAGCAACCGUUUCCCCGGCAACGGCGCCAAAAAUGCUUGUUGACACUUGCUAACACCACUUGAAUACUAGGUUGUCAUCCCCAGCAUGGCACUAGAGUGUACUAUGGUAUUUAUACGCACACAGAUAAUCCGCAAGCGCACGGAUACCGUUGAAGCUUUUACCCGGUUAAAGGUUUUAUCGUAUCCACAGGGAAACAGGAGAAGUGAUCUACGCUCUAACUUAACCAAGAUAAGUAAAUAGGUGUAAAUAGGAAAGAUGGUAGAAUUGAAUAAGAACAAUAUUAAAGGUAAGAUAACAGUGAGUGAUAAUAUGGGAAUAGAGAAUAGAGCAAUUCUAGUAUAUGGGCGAUGGUAGCAGAAUAGAGAGGAUAACUAUGGUUUCUCUACUUCAAAGGGUGUCUAUGUCUGGGACGAACCACGUGAUAAGAGUACACCACAAAGGAUGCUUAUCCUUAGGCCGAUAAACCCUACCCGUCCUGCUAACGAGAGGUGGACUACAGAGGACCAACGUAACUGUCACCUACGCGGCCUACCACACGAUCCAGCUAGACAGGGGAUAUCCACAAGUAAUCUAGAUCUAAGCACCUCGCUUACACCUAUACUACAACUCUCACCUAUAGCGUCCUAUAGAUUAGAAUACUCAAAAGAGUUGUGAACCAGAACAUACAUAAUUAGUAAUUGCAUAAUGAAUUAGAAGUAGAUUACCAGAGUCAUGCCAUGAGCAAGCUUGAUUAGAGCUUGAUCAUGACGAAGUACAACCGGAGAAAGAACCGACAGGCCGGCCUCUCCUCUAAUCCUCCUUCGCUCUCCAUCUUGCUACUAUCUAGAUCUACUCUAGUUUAGAGAAGAGAGGAGAGCUCUCAUCUCUAAACCCUAGCUUUUACUCUGUCUAUGAAUAAUGAAUAAUGAUCAAGGGGUGCCUCCUCCAGGGGCCAGGGGGUCUGGUUAUAUAGUCCCCUCAAGUGAACCUGGGCUGUCGGAUCAAACCGACAUUGAUUGAACGGUUAUUCUUGAUCCUUUAGGUCGGUGGAGAUCUCCCGAGAGAAAGAGUCCUGAUUGGGCUCCAAGUCAGGGCGGGCGCCCAGGGCAGGAGGGCGGGCGCCCUGCCUCUGGCCCCAUUCGGCCUCCGCUUCCUUCCCGUGGCUUCUGGAGUCUUCUAGAUGUAAGAUAAUUGCGCGGCACGUUAAUAUCUCUAUGUAAUCCCGACGUGUGGGCCUUUCUUCCGUAUUUCCUGAUAACCCCCUGCAGAAAUAGACAAACACCAAAACUCGUGGAAUUCUGUCAGAUAAAACCCUAAGUCUAGAUGUUGAUUUCAUUUGGAUCCUUUUCUUUGUUUAUUUGAUAAUUAAAUUUGAUACUUAAGGACGUCAACAAACUCUCCCAAGCUUACCUCUUGCUCGUCCCUGAGCAAGGAUAGACUCAGCAAUGGAUCAGAAGUUGUUGCAAUAUCUUUAAAAAUUUGACGGUACACAUGAUUUUAAAUAAGAUCUCAUCUCUGAGUUAGAGUAAACUGUCAAGAACUAAAACUUACUUACUUUACCUUUCACCAUGGGACUUGUAACCGUCACUUCUGUCUUGAGUAGUUAAGAGAUAGAACAGUCUAGCCAAGUGCCAUGUCUCUUUAUUCUUGAUCAGCUAUAGCUCUGGAGUUUUUGCAGAUUUUCAAAUAAAACUCAGAGAUUCCUUGUAUGACUCUCUAAAUCUCUCUUUUGUGGUAUUUCUAGAUCCUUACCAAGGCAGUGAUGGUAUAUGCCUUCUCUCAAGAUAUGUGGUAUUUGUGGUAUGAGGCAUAGUGAUAUUGCCUUCUCUCUCACCCUACUCUAAUAAGGUUUGAUAUCUAGAGCUCAUAGGUGGGAGACAGCUAAUACAUACUUACAAGACAUUUAUUGCAUAGUCAAACCAUGGAUCCAGAGAAACAAGUCAAUAAGUCAAAUCAAGAUGUGCAUGUGUGGCGAAUGAAUGGUGUAUGGUGAUGAUGGUGAUAACAAUGGUGGAAGUCUAAUUCUACUUUUGCUCUUUUGAGGGGAUACAUACCUUCCUUGCUUUUUGAAACUUUAUGAGGAGAAUGAGAUGCUCUAUCUUUCAUUUUUUUUCUUUCCUCUCAGGUGGGUAUCCUGUACCCCUAAUUCUAUUGUCGGACACUUGUCCAUUUUUACCUCUCGUCUCACUCUUUUUCUUUUCUUUCGAGGUUCCGGGCACUUGCCCCUUUUUAUUUCCUCGUAUAUUUUUUUUUCCUCUUUUUUUUAGAGCACUCAUCUCAUGAGAUAAUAUAGCAAGUGGUAGUAACAAGAUAACUUGAGCAUUUAUUUUACAAGGAAAAAUAGAAAUAUUUUUGGUUAUUCUCUCCCGGAUUAGGAGUAGAAUAUUUUUGGGUGGUUCUGGAGAUGGAAAUGAGUGGAUAUAUGUGGAUGGUACUUCCAGAGUAGAAGUAGCAUAUAUGAGUGAAUGUGCAAGUGAAAUCUUGAUUUAACCACAUGACAAGCUCCUAGGGGUCUACACAGCUUGACCACACUCAAUGCUCAUAAGCAGUAAAUAGUAAAUGUGUGGCUCAAAGUCUAGCAAGCAUGUAUAUAUGGCUGUGGUAGGAAUUUAAACUUUCAUCAUACAGGAACUCAUCAUGCAAUAUUUUAAAGAUUUUUCAAAGAUAAAAUUCUCCAGAAUUCUAGCAUCUCUAGAAACAGAUAAACAGCAGCUCAACCUUCCCAUAUCAUAUCCGUUAACAACUUAGAUUUCAGAUCAAGUUUUUAUCCCACAAGUUUAGAUCUAGAGCAAGCUUUAAAUUAUAACAGU
rnacentral:lncRNA from 1 species